ACUGAGCUUUGGUCUUUUUCUUUUUAUCUUUUUAACAACACUGUCGUUUGUCUCCCCGCAACGUACAUAGAGGAAGUUUACAAAGCACCGCCUGCCCACUUUUACCUGCCAUUGUGCCAGCAAAUCAAACCUUAAGCUGUUCGUGUUUACAGGAAGGGAUUGUUUGACGUGAAAUGGAGUCUCACACACAAGAGAGGUAAACUAGGAUUCUGUUUUCCCUGAUACUACCAAAGGACUUCUCAGCCAUGGACAUCAUCUUUGCUGCCCUGGCGUUCUACCUUCUGGCCUUCUCCUUUGCUUCCGCUCAAUUAGAUAAAGGGGAUUUGAAUGCCACAGUAACACCUCCAACAACUGGCUUAAACCUGACUCACACAUCUACUAUUAUUACUCCAUCUAACUCGACUACGCAUGUAACUGUUAUCUCAAACCUGACUGACAACACGGACCCCAUUUUCCAGCACGACUCGGGGCAAUGAAACAACCACCAAAACUACAUCAACCACAACUGAGGGCACCAGUCAUCUCCAGACUACACCGUCGACAAGCAUCGCAACAACUCGAAUAAAUCUUACAUCGCUGACAACUGCAUCACCUGGCACAAACACACCGACAUUUACUGCACUGACAACAGCAUCUGCACAGACCACAGGGGACGUAACUUCCCCUGAUACCACAGUGAAAACGACCGCUAGUUCAUCUCACACUGUCAACACGACCUCAGACUCAAUGUUCAGAACCAAACAAGGUUUAGGCCUAACAGUUCAGAAGUCAAUAUGACGAUUGUCUUCAGCGUCGUGCUCGGGGUGUUUGCCGUGGUCCUGGUCUGUUCAUCGUUCCAGAGAUGCAAACACAGAAUCCAGUACUUGCCUCAACCUCUAACCAACACUGAUGAUGCAGAUGGAUUUGUGACAGAUGAAGACACACUUGUCAUUUCCGGAGGACUUUAUGACGGCCAUCCGAUAUAUGACAAUGUGCCAACAGCCCCUGAAGAGCAGUCUCAAUUCCGUCUGGAGUUCCUUCACUGAGCAGAACAGAUCUUGUUCAGUGAGAUGACACCGUUGGUGCUGGAGCAGCAUUGGACGAUAUAAAAUGCAAGACUGAAAUUUCAUUCAAAGAGAGGAAGGGAAACUGUUCUCAUUCAUGACAACACUGAAGGAUUUAAACUUUACUUUUACUUUUAUACUACCAGGAUACAUGAAUAUAUUAGCUACAUUAAGAUAGAACAACAACGAUGUCAAUCUGAGCCAAAUAAAUGAGAUUCCAUUUGAA